rnacentral:rRNA from 1 species
UUACCUGGUUAUCCUGCGAUGCUUGUUUCAAAGAUUAAGUAAUGCAUACAUAAGUAUGAACUAAUUUAGACUGUGAAACUAUCAAUGGGUCAUUAAAUUAGUUAUAGUUUGUUUGAUGGUAUCUACUAUCGGAUAACUAUAGUAAUUCUAGAGCUAAUAUAUGCAACAAACCCUAACUUUUGGAAAUGAUGCAUCUAUUGGAUAAAAGGUCAAUGUGGCCUUUGCACAUUGCUUUGAUGAUUCAUGAUAACUCAAUAGAUUGCACAACCUUUAUGACGAUGAUGCAUCAUUCAAAUUUCUACCCUAUCAACUUUCAAUGGUAGGAUAGUGGCCUUAUAUGGUGGUGACAAAGAAUUAGUGGUUGAUUCCAAAAAUGGAGCUUGAGAAAUGGCUACCACACCCAAAGAAGGUCACAAGCACACAAAUUACCCAAUCCUAACGUGGAAAGGUAGUGCUAAUAAUUAACAAUACUGGGCCUUAUAAGUCUAGUAACUGGAAUGAGUACAAUCUAAAUCCCUUAACAAAGAUCUUUUGGAAGGCAAGUCUAGUGCCAACAACUAUGAUAAUUCUAGCUCUAAUAGCACAUAUUUAAGUUGUGUAGUUAAAAAGAUUGUAGUUGGAACUAAGGUUGGGUCAUCCAAUUUGCCUCAGGUGAGGCUUGGUCUACUCAUCCCUACUACUAGUAAUGUACUUCUGGCUUUAAGUGGCUACAUCAUUCCUCUAGUGCUGUUACUUUGAAAAAAUUAGAGUGCUCAAAGCAAGCCUAUGCUUGUAUACAAUAGCAUGGGAUAACAUUAUAAGAUUUUGGUCCUAUUGUGUUGGCCUUUGAGAUUAAAGUAAUGAUUAACAAAGACAAUCAGGGGCAUUCAUAUUUCAUAGUUAGAGGUGAAAUUCUUGGAUUUAUGAAAGACAAAACUAUGAAAGCAUUUGCCAAGGAUGUUUUAAUUAAUCAAGAAUGAAAGUUGGGGGCUCAAAGAUGAUCAUAUACCAUCAUAGUCUCAACCAUAAACAAUGUAAAUCAGGGAUCAACGGAUGUUACAUUUAAGACCCUACUAACACUUCAUAAUAAAUCAAAGUCUUUUGGUUCUAGAGGGAGGAUGGUCACAAGGUUGAAACUUAAAGGAUAUGACAGAAAGGCACCACUAGGAGUGGAGCUUGUAGCUUAAUUUGACUCAACAUAGGGAAAUUUACUAGAUCUAGACAUAGUAAGGAUUGAAGAUUAAAAGCUCUUUCUUGACUCUAUGGGUGGUCGUGCAUGGUUGUUCUUAGUUGGUGGAGUGAUUUGUCUUGUUAAUUUCAUUAAUAAAUGAGACCUCAGCUUGCUAACUAGCUACAUGGAGGUGAUCCUUCAUGGCUAGCUUCUUAAAGGGGCUAUGGCCACUUAGGCAAAAAAAGUUUGAGGCAAUAACAGGCCUAGGUAAUCUUUGAAAUUUCAUCAUGAUAAGGAUAGAUCAUUGCAAUUGUUGGUCUUUAAUGAGAAAUUCCUAGUAAGCAUGAGUCAUCAGCUCACAUUAACUGUGUCCCUACCUUUUGUAUACAUCACUUAUCGCUCCUACCGAUUGAAUGGUCCAAUGAAAUGUUUGGAUUGUGGUGACGUAGAUGGUUUACUACCGGUGAUGUCACGAAAGUCCAUCAAAUUUUAUCAUUUAGAUGAAAGAGAAGUCAUAACACGGUUUUCAUAGGUGAACCUACAGAAA